GGGGGUGUAGCUCAAUUGGUUAGAGUCCUAGACUGUCGAUCUAGUUGUUGCGGGUUCGAGUCCCGUCACUCCCG
rnacentral:tRNA from 1 species